GUCGUCGGUCUGUAGAGCCGAUACCGACAGUGUCCAAUAUUUGUUUAAUACUUGUUUGACAUCUCCCCUUGAAAUCACGUUUCGCCCGAGCGAGAACCGAGCACACGAGAGAAACGAUCCGGUUGCGAGGGGACACACACCACCUGUAGAACGGACAUAACAAAAAGCAUGCUUAUUGAUAUACGAUUAAUUGAUGGUAGUACAAAUGUGAACGAUAUUUAAGCGACUCUCGAUUGAUUGGCUGCGACGGCGUGCAGUUCCGUGUUCCUUUUCAAGUGGAACUAUCAGAAACCGGUGUGGUGUACUUCGCACGGAUGUCGGUUCCCAGUCCGCGCGUCCAUACCUUUUUCUCUCUUUCUCUCUUGUCUUCUUUUUUCAUACAGUUACCGGAAGCAAUUAAUGUGAAAACAUUGAGUAAAAUGGGAAUGUGAUCAUAUGCCAAUAUGCUACUACUGUAAAUAGUCUUCUCACCAUUAAAUAAUCCGAUUUGUCUUUCUAUUGUGCAUCACCUCCUCUUUCUCUCUCUUCUCUUUUCUCUCGUUUUUUCUUUCUCUUUCCAAUUAUAGGUAAAGUACAGUAAAUCAUAUAAUCUGUCACAGUUGUGCGUAACUUUCACCAUCCCCCAUGUACUCUGAACACACAAAUUAAAACAAAUUGAGCUAGGCAUCUACACACUUCCCCCUCAAAUCUUUGCAGCGUGUGUAUGGUUAACCUACAUUUUCGUACUCUAUUUCGUACUUGUCCAUAUGCCGUUUAGCCAUCUUUUUACGCCAAUGAAAUUUAUCUGAAGGUAUUUCUUUAUACCAGAUGUACUAAUAAUUAUAAUCGAUGAGUUACACCGCUCUUGGUUUUGAAGAGACAUUCUUGGAAUACCUAGAAACAGUAGUUGGGUUAAUGUGCCUGACACAAAAAGCUCGACUGUUAUUCAGUUACUAUUAUUAACAGCGCACACGUUCAUCGUUAAGUGUUAUUUUAUUUAAAGGUAUGACUAAUAUUUUGAUGGCAAUAGCUCAGAUCAAACGAUAGUUGGCUUCAAUUUGAAAAUAAUUGAUUUUUUUGCGUUUCAUUUCGCUGUUCAGUGCUUUUGAGGAGAGAUUGAAAUGUUUUAACAGAACCGGCAAUAGUUUGUUUUACCAUAUGUACGCUUCUUAAAAGUAGAACAAACAACACCGUCUUGCAGUUUCAAUAUGCAAUAUAUCGCGCAUUAGAGUUUAGCCAGACCGAAAGGAUAUAGAAAAUUAUAGAGCACGUAGUUUAAAAUUCCUUCCAAAAUUAUACACAUUCCUCAUGCUCCUCUUACAUGUUAGUCUCCACAGCUCAUUAUCCGCACACAAUCAAAUCAAUUCAUGCGAUUUCUUCGUUUCUUUCUUUUUUUUUUUGUUUCUGUACUUUCAGCGGCAUUUGAUUGAUAUCAUAUUGUUAUGAUAGUAGUAAAAAUGUUUCUAAACAAUAACAUAUUUGAGAAAGAUAGCCUAUUAAUUUAGGCACUAAUUGUAAUACGUACCUAUCACAGCCCACAUCCUUCCGAGAAGAUAAUCUAUCAGGGUGUGCAUGAUACUGCCUCAUCCAUCUAUUGGCGUAAGGAUGAUCGAUUAUAUGGCUGGGAGGUAAACUAUUGUCAGUGUACUGUAAAAGCCUUACCAGGGCGAAGAAAUGUGAAUGUGUGGAAACGCACCCGCAAAAGCUGUCGGCAAUGCGCGGCGAUAUAUGUACUUCGUGUACUGUAUUUGAAAAUGAUUUCGUACUUUUUUUUAAUCAUGUGUACCUUAGAGUACAAGUUUUGUGACCCUUACGUUGCAAUUCGCUGCAUUGGUGGCCAUAUUUGUUGUUGCGUGGGGUACCUUGUGCUAUGUUUUGGGGGUUGUUUCUAUGUACUUUUAUUUAAGCUUUUCCAUCCUCUUCUCGGGGCAUCGCAAAAAGGGAAGCAGACAAACGGUUGCUGUUACGUUCCAGCGCUGUAGGAUCGUACGAUCAAGCACCAGCCGGCUGGGGUUAGCGUAUUGCGAGGUAUACUCCCGAGCGAUGGUCCACGUGGGUAAUAUACACGCGUGCUGCGUGCUCACUUACACUUACCGGAAUGUUUUUGUUUUUCGUUUACACUAUAUUACGUUCUCGUCUCGUGGGGACGCUAGCUAACGAAUGUCCUUCUCUCUUUUCUCUUUUCUCUCUCUCUUUCUCUCUUAAUUCUUUUAUUUCUGAAUAUUGUCGAACUCAUGGGAGCUCAAGUCGGUUGUGCUAUGCUUUCAACCUCCUAUAAACGGGCAUGCAACCUCAGCACACAGAGUUCGAUCGGCGUGCGCGUAUCACGAGGACACGAGCUUCUCUUCUCUGCGUCGUUCGCUGUAAUCAUCAUCGGCGUAUACCCCAAACCAAUGUCGAAUUCAUCCUUCCUUUCCGGAGGGAAACAGAGAGAAGGCGCUAGUAGCGGUCGCGCGUAGAAGAUCGAUCAGUUAUUUUUCUCUUUUUUCUCUUAUUCUCUUUCUUUGUGGUUUUUUUCUUAACCUCCUAACUCUUGAUCGUAUUGUAUUACACAGAGAAACAUUGCGCGACUGAAGUAAAAGUCCAAUGAUACGUGGAUAGAGAGAAAGUGACGAAUAUACGCGCAAAUGGAAACACAUAUACGAUCAAUGUGAACGUAUUAAUCGGCAGCAUUUCUGCACUCUAUCUUGAAAAAUGAAAAAAAAGUGCAUAGUAUAAGAAAACUCCCACCCCCACUCCAGCAUGGGACAAGUUCCUGGCGAUCGGCUAAUUGCGGUAACACGGUGAUCGUGUUUUUUUGUUUUUUGUCCAUUUCUCUUUCUCUCUCUUUUUCUCUCUCUCUCUCUCUGUUUUGUUUUGUUCAAUCUAUGUGUUCUCUUUAAUCGUACUUUCAGCGAACUGGGGAUUGUUCGUGAUUCGAUGACGUGUUAUAUUUGAACAGCUUUGUUUGAAUCAACCGUGCUUGCCUCCAAGAUUAGGCUAACUGAACCAUCAUGUAUGCGCGUGUUGUUGAGUAUAAUUGUACAAUUCUAACUUCUUGAGACGAUACAACGGUAGUAGCCAACAUAAUCCUUUGCAUAAAUAGUAGUAGUACUUCCACUGUUCUCCUCAGCCAUCGUCGGAAUGGGCCACGAAAAUGGGAUGUAUUUUGUAGGCUCGAUAUGUGGGACGACGCUCGCUAUUCUGCAAGGACAUGCUCUGUCCGAGUGCGCGUGUGUGUUUCUGUGCUUCUCGUCCUGGUUGAACCAUCCUAUAAUCAUCGUCACCAUCUCAACACCGCAACAGUAUAUAUGUGAACAAAGCCUGGGAACGAGGCCGUUGGCAGUUUUUUCUUUCUUUUUUGUCUACGUUUGGUUUUUCUCUUUUCUCUUUUUCUCUCUCUCUUUCUCUCUCUCUCAUCUUUAAUUACAUAUAUAUUAUAUUGUUCUCUUUCUUAAACAAAAGAAAAAAAAAAUCCUGUGAUAACAAUAUCAUCUUUCCUGGCGUCCGGAUGCGACCUAGACUCUUCCUGCUUAUGCUGUGGAAGAUAAUAUCGACCGCAUCUACUUGACUUUGACUGAUCUAUAUGUCUCUCGUAUUGUUUUUGUUUCUCUCUUUCUCUCUCUUUCUCUUUCUAUCUUUCUCUAUUUCUCUUUUUGUUUCAUCUACUCCCAUGCGUAUGCCAAAAGAAGCGAAAAUGCACCUUCUUUGCAAAAGUACUGCGUAAAGACAGAUACACAAUCUGCCACUGCCACUAUUACUACUACCAAUACUACCACAACAACUAUUCUUCCUUCGUCAUCACGUUACAUUUUGAUACUUUGCCCAAGCGAAAGGCCAACAAUGAAACCGUUCGCCUAUCUACUACUACUACUACUACUACUACUACUACUACUACUGCCUACUGCUACCUAUACUACUACCGCUACUAUCAUCACCACCACUCACCAUCAUAAUUGCUACCGGUUCUUUCGUUCGUCCUUUGACUGAAUUUCGCAUCACGACUGCCGCGUGCGUGUACUGCGUAAUCGCGAUGGUUGGAAAACAAGACUCUAAAUGUUAUCUCAUGUUACCACUGCUCUCUCGUGCAAUGGCAGACUAUACGAACAAGAACAGUAUCACACAUAUUCACAGCACGUGGCGAGCAAAAUGUAUCAAAAGAUUGUGAACUCUUGUCUCUUGUGAACAUCCUCACACAAGUUGACUCCCCCAGAUCCAUGGAAGAG